rnacentral:rRNA from 1 species
UACGAAGGGUGCAAGCGUUACUCGGAAUUACUGGGCGUAAAGCGUGCGUAGGUGGUGAGUUAAGUCUGUCGUGAAAGCCCCGGGCUCAACCUGGGAAUGGCGAUGGAUACUGGCUCGCUAGAGUGCGGUAGAGGAGAGUGGAAUUCCCGGUGUAGCAGUGAAAUGCGUAGAUAUCGGGAGGAACACCAGUGGCGAAGGCGGCGAUCUGGGUCGAUACUGACGCUGAGGUGCGAAAGCGUGGGGAGCAAACAGG